AACCAGCACCUCAAGUGGUCAGGAGGAUUAUUGGGCCUAAAGCAUCCGUAGCCUGUUCUGUAAGUUUUCGGUUAAAUCCAUUAGCUCAACUAAUGGGCCGCCGAAAAUACUGUAGAACUAGGGAGUGGGAGAGGUAGACGGUAUUCGGUAGGAAGGGGUAAAAUCCUUUGAUCUAUUGAGGACCACCUGUGGCGAAGGCGGUCUACCAGAACACGUUCGACGGUGAGGGAUGAAAGCUGGGGGAGCAAACCGGAUUAGAAACCCCGGUAGUCC
rnacentral:rRNA from 1 species